GCUGGGCAUGGUGGCACGUACCUGUAGUCCCUGCUACUUGGGAAGCUGAGGCAGGAGAAUCACUUGAACCCAGGAAGUGGAGCUUGCAGUGAGCUGAGAUUGCGCCACUGCACUCCAGCCUGGUGACAGAGUGAGACUCCGUCUCAGAAAAAAGAAAAAGAAUUCUUUUUUUUUUUUUUUUUUGAGACACAGAGUCUCGCUCUGUCGCCCAGGCUGGAGUGCAGUGGCCGGAUCUCAGCUCACUGCAAGCUCCGCCUCCCGGGUUCACGCCAUUCUCCGGCCUCAG
rnacentral:sRNA from 1 species